rnacentral:rRNA from 1 species
AUUGAACGCUGGCGGCAGGCCUAACACAUGCAAGUCGAGCGGAUGAAGGGAGCUUGCUCCUGGAUUCAGCGGCGGACGGGUGAGUAAUGCCUAGGAAUCUGCCUGGUAGUGGGGGAUAACGUCCGGAAACGGGCGCUAAUACCGCAUACGUCCUGAGGGAGAAAGUGGGGGAUCUUCGGACCUCACGCUAUCAGAUGAGCCUAGGUCGGAUUAGCUAGUUGGUGGGGUAAAGGCCUACCAAGGCGACGAUCCGUAACUGGUCUGAGAGGAUGAUCAGUCACACUGGAACUGAGACACGGUCCAGACUCCUACGGGAGGCAGCAGUGGGGAAUAUUAGACAAUGGGGGAAAGCCUGAUCCAGCCAUGCCGCGUGUGUGAAGAAGGUCUUCGGAUUGUAAAGCACUUUAAGUUGGGAGGAAGGGCAGUAAGUUAAUACCUUGCUGUUUUGACGUUACCAACAGAAUAAGCACCGGCUAACUUCGUG